GGAGUCGGUCGUGAAUGCUGGACUUGAAAUGGUGGUUACGUGAGAGAUGUUUACAUAUUUUUAAUAUGCCAGUCAGUCAACAGUCUUCUCAUCCAGCCAGGGUCGAAAUAUUGGCAAUGUUGAUGGAUAGUGCGUGCCUUGCUUGCGGCGUAGGGUGCCAUCUGGUGAGCGCAGGGGAAUUGUGUGCUGAUGAGUUGUGAUCUUGAAGACCUCGCAGCUCACCCAGGUGUCCAUUUGAGGAGCACUGCUGUACAUUCUGCUGGAUGUUGUGCCAUGUUGUGGCUGUGUCACAUUAAGGCACUGAAGGAGUGCCAACAUAACAACAAAUUCUGGUUAGUGUUUGGAUGGGUGGCAACUUAAGAUCACCACAUGUCAUUUGCAGUAACCAGGUCUGCACAGGUCCUUGGCACCUAAAAUUAUGAUGGUGCUUGGAAGUUUCUUCCUUUUAUGUUACUUUUAUCCUACUAUUAGCUACUACUAUCAUAUAAGCUGUCAAAGAUGACACACAAAAUAACGUGUUUCUUUUAUUGUGUUGUCAUUUUGUUCCCUAUAUCCUAGCAACCACUCACUGGGUUCUCCCUCAGGAGGGCUGGAACCUGCCAGUGUUUAUAUGCAGGUGUUCUAAUUGCCCCUUUGUUAAUGAUAGCAACUUGGGGUAUUUUCCUCCUAGUUUUUAGAUGUGGUAUCCUAGAUUUAUGGGAGGUUCUGCAGUCCUGGCAGUAACAUUACUAUGGUCAUUCGAGAUUUUCAUGUUUCGUGGUUACGUUUACAUUGUUGUGACAAAUCGUAGUUCACAGUGGUUAGCUCUGAUCUCUACUGAUCUCGUUUUGUGACGGUCUGGUGUAUUCUGCAAGUAUCUCCAAAAUUCUGCUAAUCUUUAUCACUUCAUAAAGUUUUAAUAUCAAACAAUUCUGCAAUGAGUAACAUGUGCAGUGCUGGGCGUAUAUAAAUAAGGUCUCUUUCUCAGUGGAUCACUCGUUAAACAAAUAUUGAUAGAUACUGUUCAUUAUCUGGGGCUUCAUUAAUACAUAUGCAAUGGCAGGGUCCAGUGGUCAAGACUAGGUCUUUCUGAUGGGCCCUGCUUAAGGAU